GGACUACCGGGGUAUCUAAUCCUGUUUGCUCCCCUUGCUCUCGCGCCUCAGCGUCAGGAACUAGCUAGAAAACCGCUUUCGCCACAGGUGUUCCUCCACAUAUCUACGCAUUUCACCGCUACACGUGGAAUUCCAUUUUCUCCGCCAGCCCUCCAGGUUCGCAGUUUCAGAUGCAGCUCCAAGGUUGAGCCUUGGAAUUUCACAUCUGACUUGCAAAUCCGCCUACGCGCCCUUUACGCCCAAUAAUUCCGAUUAAUGCUUGCACCCUCCGUAUUACCGCGGCUGCUGGCAC
rnacentral:rRNA from 1 species